GAUGAACGCUGGCGGCGUGCCUAAUACAUGCCAGUCGAGCGAACAGACGAGGAGCUUGCUCCUCUGACGUUAGCGGCGGACGGGUGAGUAACACGUGGAUAACCUACCUAUAAGACUGGGAUAACUUCGGGAAACCGGAGCUAAUACCGGAUAAUAUAUUGAACCGCAUGGUUCAAUAGUGAAAGACGGUUUUGCUGUCACUUAUAGAUGGAUCCGCGCCGCAUUAGCUAGUUGGUACGGUAACGGCUUACCAAGGCAACGAUGCGUAGCCGACCUGAGCGGGUGAUCGGCCACACUGGAACUGAGACACGGUCCAUACUCCUACGGGAGGCAGCAGUAGGGAAUCUUCCGCAAUGGGCGAAAGCUUGACGGAGCAACGCCGCGUGAGUGAUGAAGGUCUUCGGAUCGUAAAACUCUGUUAUUAGGGAAGAACAAAUGUGUAAGUAACUAUGCACGUCUUGACGGUACCUAAUCAGAAAGCCACGGCUAACUACGUG
rnacentral:rRNA from 1 species